rnacentral:rRNA from 1 species
ACAAGUACCGUGAGGGAAAGUUGCAAAGCACUUUGAAGAGAGAGUUAAAGAGGACGUGAAACCGAUGAGGUGGAAACGGAUAGAGCCAGCGUAUCUGGCCUGUAUUCAACCGCUCGCGGGAAGCGCUCGUGCAGCUGGCGACCCCAGAUUGGGACAGUUGUGCGAGUCAUGCUGGACGCGAGUGGUGCAUUUGCAGGUCGAGUGCGCCGAGAGGCUCGGAGCAGCAGUGUGAGCCCGGUUUUGAGGCCAGCUUGCUGGUACCCGGACUUGGGGGAGUGCUGUUUGCUUUGAGUGCAACGAUGGGCAUGGCUUACGGGCUCGAUUAUGGCCGAGCUGUGGGUCGGCGGCGGUCGCUUGCAACACGUGCUGUGCCAGCAGUUCGGUCCUGGUCGAGCUCCCAUAGUGCCCGUUCUCGGUGUAAGAGCUGGUCAUCUCUCCCACCCGUCUUGAAACACGGACCAAGGAUUUUAUCGGGUGCGCGAGUCAUUGGGCGUUGAAAACCCAAAGGCGCAAUGAAAGUGAAGUGCCACGCAGGUGGCUGAUGUGCGAUGUGGUGUUCCGCGGAGCACCUGCGCAGCAUGGCCCCAUCCUGGCUGCUUGCAGCGGGGUGGAGGAAGAGCGUGCGCGAUGACACCCGAAAGAUGGUGAACUAUUCCUGAGCAGGAUGAAGCCAGAGGAAACUCUGGUGGAAGUCCGAAGCGAUUCUGACGUGCAAAUCGAUCGUCUGACUUGGGUAUAGGGGGCGAAAGACUAAUCGAACCAUCUAGUAGCUGGUUCCUUCCGA